rnacentral:tRNA from 1 species
GGGGAUGUGGCUCAGUGGUAGAGUAUAUGCCUAGCAUGCAUGAGGCCCUGGGUUUAACACACAGCACCA